rnacentral:lncRNA from 1 species
AGACCCAGCUUGAAGAGGAACUGCUCAUCGGAGGCUUGUGACACAUGUUGGUACACAGGCCCCUGGAGGCCCUGCACGGCGGCCUGCGGCCGGGGCUUCCAGUCUCGGAAAGUCGACUGUGUCCACACCAGGAGCUGCAAACCAGUGGCUGAGAGACGCUGUGUGUCCAGAAGGAAACCCACUUCCUGGCGGCACUGCCUGGGGCCUUCCUGUGAUAGUACGUACCCGUCUCAGGAGACUGCACAGACACAACUCACUACUGUACGUUUGUAAAGCAUCUUCAUUUGUGUUCACUAGACCUCUACAAACAAAGGUGCUGCCAGUCGUGUCAGGAAGGACAAAACUUUGGGGGUUCGUAAUGCUGCUGUGAAGAUAAAACAAAAAUGUAAAAGCUCUCUUCCCCAUGUAGCUGGCUCCAAGACAUGUCUUUCUUUAAGAAACUCUAGACUCUACAGUCAAACAGGGGUCGACACCAGAUCGACACUGAUAAAAUUUGAUAUUGCCAUUUCCCCGUGGCGAGUUUUUAAUUCCAACUCUCUUCAAUGAUCUGCCCGAGGACUAACACCAACUGCCACAGCAGGCACGCCGCCGCACGUGGGACCUCGCCGUGUGCUUCUCAUCAGGAAGUCACCAAGAUCACCGGUGCGUGGUCACAAGCUGCCUCUUCCUGUGAUUUGUCCUCUAAUCUAGAGCGGGACAUCCUGAAGACUUGGGAAACACAGCAACGGAUGGCCUCUCUUCUCAGUUUUAGGGUUUCAACAGGUUUAUAAGGCAUUUGCAUUUUAGAAGCUCUGGCCAGUAGUUGUUAAGAUUUGGCGCUAAUGGCAUUUAAAAGAGACAAUUCCCUUGUUCAGGCUCAGAACCCUGGCUGAUCCAGGGAUUCUGGGGCAAUGGCAUCUUGGCCUUGCUCUUCGAGAACCCAUGGAAGAAAAGCAGAGUAAACGUUGCUGCCAUUUUCACAACUACGGAAAUCUCGCUGUGACCAAAUGAUGCAUCUUGGAAAUCAAAGGAGAGGGAAAGUUAAACCUUUUCUACUGAUUUUGAAGUAUAUUCAAAGCUUUCUUUUAAGAGCUGUGAAUGAAACUUUUUUCUAAGCACUAUUCUCUUGCACACAAACAGAAAAUCAAAGCCUUAUUAGACCUAAUUUAUGCAUAAAAUAGUAUUCCUAAGGAUUUUUAUUUUGGGGAAAUUAUAAGAAAGUCAUCUAACUAUGAAACAUGAGAGUUGAAAAGAAUUGUUUAUAGUAAAUCAUUGUUUUAAUCUGAACUGAUUUUGUCAGUAACCCCAAAGCAAAUUAGGGUUAGGCUGGAAGGGACAGUUGGGACGAGGGGUUAGAGUUAGGAUUUGGUGAAGAAGUUUAGGGUUCAUUUUAGAUUUAGGAUUGGGUUAGGUGAGGAUGGAAGAUAAGUUGGGGUGAAGGCUGGAGUUGGCUUUAAGGAUCAGGGUGAGGACCAGAGUUGGUUUGGGUUUGGAAAGGGCCAAUGCUGGGGUGUUGGCCGUGGUGUCAGGGUGGAGGUUAAGUUUGGAGUGAAUGUGGCUGCGGAAGGAUUUUAGGACUCUCCUGAAAUCGUAAGUUCUAAAGCUGAUAGGGCUAGGGGGCUCUUUCCUCACUUUCCACCAUGUAUGGCUUUGGAUGGCAUGCAACCCCAAAUAAAUGGUCAUCCUUCUUUGUCCUGUGUCUCAGCCACCUGUACGCAUGCUGCCUAUAGCCUGCUGGCAGCAGAGUCACCUGAAGCAGGUGUGCUGGAUCCAGCCCCCCGGGGCCUCUCGUCAGUGAACAGGGCGUUCUGGCUUUGGGAUUUGUCUGCGGACAAGCUUGCUGGGUCUCUCUGCCAUAUUCUGAGCACCGGCUCGCUUACUCUAACUUCAGCCUCACUGACACUGGGAUGAGCACUGCUGUAUGUGGAGGGUUGGUGGUUGGGACGGAUGUGGGAGCGUGAUGAGGACGCACCAGCCCAUGAGUCAUUAAUCAUCCAUCACACUUGAUUGCUGAAGGUUUUUAAAUGAAAGGAGAGAUCAUUUGUAAAAUACUCUUUGUAUAUAUUUAUUAUAUGACUUAAAGGUGCAAUAUUUUAUUUUGUACAGUAUGUAAUAAAGACAUGGGACAUAUAUUUUUCUUGUUAACAAAAUGUCUUAUUAAAUUGCUUCACCUUUGUAUUUAAAGUGGCUGCUUUUCAUUUGCUAGUGUAUCUUUUGACUUGUUAGCGUUCCAAUGACAUCCCUGUGUACUGUAUUUUACUACUGUUUCUAUCACACAAGAGUUAAUGUUUCUCUUUCAUGAUCCUGACUAGUAAUUCAGAAAUAAAUGUACUUUGAUUAUUC